GUAAUGUCGACCUUAGUGUAGCUGAUGUAAAGAAACCGCCAACAGUGAAAGUUCCGGCAAAUGCAAAUCUGAAAGAAGAACGUUAUAUAAUGGUCAUUCUUGGUCCAGACGAAUGGAAGGAAGCUAAUAUAUCGUCUCCGCAUUGGUUGAGGACACACAUCAGUCGCGCAGAACUGAAAUCAGGCAUAACGU
rnacentral:misc_RNA from 1 species